rnacentral:rRNA from 1 species
AGAGAGAGACAUGCGCGCAUAUCAAUAAGCGGAGGAAAAGAAACUAACAAGGAUUCCCUUAGUAACGGCGAGUGAAGCGGGAAGAGCUCAAAUUUGAAAUCUUCAAGGUUCUACCUUGACGAAUUGUAGUUUAUAGAAGUGUUUUCUGUUAGUGGAGUGGCAAAAGUUCUUUGGAAUAGGACAUCAUAGAGGGUGAGAAUCCCGUAUUUGGUCAUUCCUCCUAGCGUUGUGAUACACUUUCAACGAGUCGGAUUGUUUGGGAAUGCAGUCCAAAAUGGGUGGUAAAUUUCAUCUAAAGCUAAAUAUUGGCGAGAGACCGAUAGCGAACAAGUACCGUGAGGGAAAGAUGAAAAGAACUUUGAAAAGAGAGUUAAACAGUACGUGAAAUUGUCAAAAGGGAAGCGUUUGACACCAGUGUUGUUUUCUCGAAAAUCAAUUACGAAUGUUUUAUUUUUGAGGAGUUAUGACUUCAUCGGCUUGCUCCUUUCUUUAUGAAACUUUCUUGAUGCACUUUUCGGUUAACAAGUCAACAUCAAUUUCUUUUGUUGUAAAAGGGUAUGAGGAAGGUGGCUUUCUUUUCGGAGAAAGUGUUUAUAGCCUUGUGCCUCUGCAAUCGGAGAGAUUGAGGUCUGCAGCGUAGAUCCUUCGGGGUUAGAUACGUUUGUGCUAAGUUAUAGCUUUUCAUAGACAACUUGUUGACUAUGUUUAGUCUUGUAGCUUACUCGCUGACGCUAUUUUACCUACGCUUAGGAUGUUGAUAGUCACAGCGUGUAC